UACGAAGGGUGCAAGCGUUGCCCGGAAUUAUUGGGCGUAAAGCGCACGUAGGCGGCAUUGCAAGUCCCAUGUGAAAUCCCACGGCUUAACCGUGGAAGUGCAUGGGAAACUGCAGUGCUUGAGUACUUAAGAGGAUCGCGGAAUUCCCGGUGUAGAGGUGAAAUUCGUAGAUAUCGGGAGGAACACCAGUGGCGAAGGCGGCGAUCUGGGAAGAUACUGACGCUGAGGUGCGAAAGCGUGGGGAGCAAACAGG
rnacentral:rRNA from 1 species